rnacentral:tRNA from 2 species
CUUUCGGUAGCUCAGCUGGUUUAGAGUAGGGGACUGUAAUGGUUGCAUCUUCUCUAUCCCUUGGUCGGGUGUUCGAAUCACCCCCGAAAGA